rfam:Oryza sativa Japonica Group DNA, chromosome 5, cultivar: Nipponbare, complete sequence.
AAAAAGACAAACUCUGGGUUUCCGUGUUCAAUUUUGAUCGUCCGUCUUAUAUGAAAUUUUUUUAUAAUUCGUAUUUUUAUUGUUGUUAGAUAAUAAAACAUGAUUAAUAUUUUAUGCGUGACUUGUCUUUUUAAUUUUUUUAAAUAAGACGAACGGUCAAACGUUAGGCACGGAAACCAGGGUUUAUCUUUUU